GGGNUCUAUACAUGCAAGUCGAGCGAGCAAUUUUAACAGAAGGCCUUCGGGCUGGAAGCUAAAAGCGCGAGCGGCGGAUGGGUGAGUAACACGUGGGCAACCUGCCCUUUAGCUUGGGAUACCACUUGGAAACAGGUGCUAAUACCAAAUAAGAAGCAAGAGCGCAUGCUCAAGCUAUGAAAGGCGGCUUUCGAGCUGUCACUAAAGGAUGGGCCCGCGGUGCAUUAGCUAGUUGGUAAGGUAACGGCUUACCAAGGCAAUGAUGCAUAGCCGAGUUGAGAGACUGAUCGGCCACAUUGGGACUGAGACACGGCCCAAACUCCUACGGGAGGCAGCAGUAGGGAAUCUUCCACAAUGGACGCAAGUCUGAUGGAGCAACGCCGCGUGAGUGAAGAAGGUUUUCGGAUCGUAAAGCUCUGUUGUUGGUGAAGAAGGAUGUGAAUAGUAACUGAUUCAUAUUUGACGGUAAUCAACCAGAAAGUCACGGCUAACUACGUGCCAGCAGCCGCGGUAAUACGUAGGUGGCAAGCGUUGUCCGGAUUUAUUGGGCGUAAAGCGAACGCAGGCGGGAGAACAAGUCAGCUGUGAAAGCCCUCGGCUUAACCGGGGAAGUGCAGCUGAAACUGUUUUUCUUGAGUGCAGAAGAGGAGAGUGGAACUCCAUGUGUAGCGGUGGAAUGCGUAGAUAUAUGGAAGAACACCAGUGGCGAAGGCGGCUCUCUGGUCUGUAACUGACGCUGAGGUUCGAAAGCAUGGGUAGCGAACAGGAUUAGAUACCCUGGUAGUCCAUGCCGUAAACGAUGAGUGCUAAGUGUUGGGAGGUUUCCGCCUCUCAGUGCUGCAGCUAACGCAUUAAGCACUCCGCCUGGGGAGUACGACCGCAAGGUUAAAACUCAAAGGAAUUGACGGGGGGCCCGCACAAGCGGUGGAGCAUGUGGUUUAAUUCGAAGCAACGCGAAGAACCUUACAAGGUUCUUGGACAUCUAGUGUCCAGUCCUAGAGAUAGGGAUGUUUCCCUUCGGGGCACAACUAAGAACCAGGUGGGUGCAUGGGCUGUCGUCAGCUCGUGGUCGGUGAGAAAUGUGUGGGUUUAAGGUUCCUCGACAAUCGNAGGUCNNNAANCCCNNUUAAUUANUUNUAGUNUUGAGCGCUCAAGNNCNAU
rnacentral:rRNA from 1 species